rnacentral:snRNA from 1 species
GGAUGUGAGGGUGAUCUGUCUGUUGACAUCUGUCACCCCACUGAUUGCAAGGGUUGAUUCGGCUGAUCUGGCUGGCUAGGCAGGUGUCCCCCCUUCCUCCCUGACUGCUGCAAGUGCAUCCCUCCCAAAGCUGUGUGCUUGCUCGAAGAGGACUACCUUUCCCGAUAGGGAAGGACCAUUCUUCGGUCAAGUAGCUGCGCUCCCCUGCUAGAACCUCCAAAUAAGCUCUCAAGAAAAAAAGAAAAACAAUAUCCCUCAAGAACACAGUUACAAAAAUCAU